CAUAAUUAAAUUUAUCUAAAAUUAAAUACAAAUAAUGUCAGACUAAUCAAAGUUUAACUAUCCUCCGCUUCCCGAUUUACAACGAGUACACGUUUCACGCAACGUAACAACAAACUGGGGAACGGAUGGAAGUUCUGAUUUUAAUUUGAUAGAAAUGCAUUUGAAAUAUAUGAUAUAAAUAGAGGAAUAUUACCAGCUUGCUCAAUUCAAUGGGGCAAAAAACAAACCAAAAUUCGAGAUAAUUCAAAGCAUUCAGGCUACGCCUACCUCAUUUAUAAAACGCACAAACCCUUCACAAAGCAUGCAACUGUUUUAGCAAAGCGUACCGUGCAAAAAGCUAAACCUAUCGUUCAAAAAACGAACCGUACCGUUCACAAAGCGAACUUUGCCGUUCACAAAAUGACCCGUACCGUACACAAAGCGAUCCGUACCGUUCACAAAACGAACCGUGCCGUUCAUAAAGCGAGCCUUACCGUUCACAAUAUGAACCGUACCGUUCACAAAACGAACCGUACCGUUCACAAAAUGACCCGUACCGUUCACAAAGCGAACCAUACCGUUCACAAAAUGACCGUUACCGUUCACAAAGCGAGCCUUACCGCUCACAAUAUGAACGGUACCGUUCACAAAACGAACCGUACCGUACACAAAACGAACCGUAUGGUUCACAAAAUGACCCUACCAUUCACAAAAUGACCGUUACCGUUCACAAAGCGAGCCGUACCGUUUACAAAGCGUACCAAACCAAACCGUUUAACUGGUGUAUAGCACAUAUCAGUCUGUAAAUUAUCAUGAAAUAGGCUAUAAAAUUUCAGUUAAUAGUAUAAUAUCAAGGACCAAAAAUAGACUUAUGGAAAAUUAUUUCAUAACCCAUUAUAUUAUGUAAUCCCUAGAUUGCUCUUUGCAGAAUGGAUGUUUUUGUGCGAAAUUGUAUUUAAAACAAUGAUAUCAAAAUAUUUUCCUUGUUUAAACUCUCCAUAAUUACAAAUAAUUGAAUUGACAUUUAAUAUUCUAUUCUGCUAAGUAAAUAAGGGGAUGUAUAUAAAAGAUCGAAUCUUGGUACUGGUCAGAGAUGUCCAAAAUGAUCUUCAAAAUUUUCUUUGUUCUUUAUGUUAUUGGAGUGAGUGAAGUGGCAUGUUGUUGCCGUGAGUAUUUGAUACUUAAUCACAUUUAUUCUCUAACGAUUUAAUGUUAACCGCAACAUAAUUGUUUAAUAUUAGUACAGUUUUCUUUACUAAAGUAACGUGGAUAUUUUUUAAGCCAAGAUAUAAUCAAAGUAAUUGUAAGACUCAUAUUUAAAACAGAAUAAGACAUGUUCCUGUUAUUGGAACUCUAUUUUUAUGUAUAGUUGGGUGCCCCUUAGUAACAGAAGAAAUCGCCAAGACCUGCAUUACUACUGACCCGGAAUGUGCCUCAGUGCCAGUUAGUGAGGGAGAAUGUUUCAAUGGAUGCACUAUAACAUGUUUAACUAGGUGUCCCAUGGUAACAGAAGAUAUGGCCAAGACCUGCAUAACUACUGACCCGGAAUGUACUGCAGUGCCUCUGAUGGAAAACAACUGCUUCAAUGGAUGCACUAUAAUCUGUUCAAGUAAAGACCACCAUGUUGUGAGCAUACAUCUUGUUGGCGUCUGUUGUAACGACCCUGGCCCUACACGG